GAUGAACGCUAGCGGCAGGCCUAAUACAUGCAAGUCGAACGGUAAGGCCCUUUCGGGGGUACACGAGUGGCGGACGGGUGCGUAACGCGUAUGCAAUCUACCUCGAAAUGGGGGAUAGCCUGGAGAAAUUCAGAUUAAUACCCCGUAGUAUCCAGAGAUCGCAUGAUUUUUGGAUUAUAGCUCCGGCGUUUCGAGAUGAGCAUGCGUGACAUUAGCUAGUUGGUGAGGUAACUGCUCACCAAGGCUACGAUGUCUAGCUGGUCUGAGAGGAUGAUCAGCCACACUGGGACUGAGACACGGCCCAGACUCCUACGGGAGGCAGCAGUAGGGAAUAUUGGACAAUGGGGGCAACCCUGAUCCAGCCAUGCCGCGUGGAGGAAGACGGUUCUCUGAAUUGUAAACUCCUUUUAGCAGGGAAUAAACCCAUCCUAUAAGGGUGGUUGAAGGUACCUGCAGAAUAAGCACCGGCUAACUCCG
rnacentral:rRNA from 1 species